UACGUAGGGGGCUAGCGUUGUCCGGAAUCAUUGGGCGUAAAGCGCGUGUAGGCGGUUCGGUAAGUCCGCUGUGAAAGUCGGGGGCUCAACCCUCGGAUGCCGGUGGAUACUGUCGGACUAGAGUCCGGAAGAGGCGAGUGGAAUUCCCGGUGUAGCGGUGAAAUGCGCAGAUAUCGGGAGGAACACCAAUGGCGAAGGCAGCUCGCUGGGACGGUACUGACGCUGAGACGCGAAAGCGUGGGGAGCAAACAGG
rnacentral:rRNA from 1 species